GCCGAGGUGUUGGAACUGGCAUACAAUGUGGAUUUAAAAUCCACUGGCCGUAAGGCCAUGAGGGUUCAAAUCCCUCCCUCGGCACCA
rnacentral:tRNA from 1 species